UCGGUCAGUUGAACAUUUUCCAUGCUGUGAUCAAGUUGUCUUUUCCUCUGAGCGCCGAGCGCUGUGCACGCCUUGGACUUGGAGCAUCAAAAUACGCAUUCCACGUAUCGCCAGCCAAACCGAAGCUAAAAAAUUGCCCAAAACUAUUACAGCUCAACGGCAAACAAUUUGUGAAACGACGGACUGACUUACAUGCAUUUUAUUAGUACAUAAUAUCAAAAAUCAAUCCAAUUGAAUAAACACCAACAACUUUUUUGUAACUUAAUUACAAUCAAAAAAAAAAAAUAAAUAAAUAAAUAAAUAAAAACAAACAACCAACAAAUAACAACAAAACGAGCAGAAACAAUAACAGCAACAAUUUAAACAAUUCAACGGUUUCGUCUGAGCUGCAACAUAUAAAAAAGCACACAACAAAAUAUAAUAAAAACAGUAUUAAAAGCAAAUAAAAAGCCGAAACGAAACGCAAAUGUUGUGAAAUGAAGUGCCGAAAAUAUCAACAACAACAACAACAACUGCGGCUGAUAUCCAAUUAAAUUCAACGCACAAAAAGUCAACUUGAAUGGGCAGCAUAUCAGAAAGCGUUAUCGACUUAUCGUUGUUAUCGAAAUCGAAAUCGAAAUUGAAAUAAUCGAAGAGAAAAACAAAUUGAGCUUGUCGAAGCAGAGAGAAAGAGAGAGAGAGAGGCGCCAGGGCAGCCAGGACAGGUCCCAAUGAAAUCAACGAAGACGCAUAAAUCCAGCAUGGAGCCGAAAAUUUUGUGCUUUUGUAUUUGCCCAUUUUAAUGAGUGUAGCUAAAAACAACUACAAACAAAAAAAAAACAACUACAAACUAAACCAAAUACAAAGCAUUUUUUACAUCAACAACAACAACAACAACAACAACAAUCAUCAAUACACGAAUGUGACAAUAAAAACAAAGCAAAAGCAAAUUAAAAAGAAAGCAAAUCAAAUUUUAGUUGCACCACAACAAGAACAACAACAACAAGAACAACAAGCACAGUGAUAAAGCACAAACGCAGGGAGAGAACAACAAACAACAACAACAAGACACGAUUUCCGAUCAACUUAGUUGCCUUUAAAGCUGCAUAUAUCCCGAAUAUCCUGCACAUUUUAACAUCUCGUUGUCUAGCGUGUGUCCUUGUGUGUCCUUGUGUGUGUGCUUGUCCAGUGUCAAGUGUCCCGUGUCCUUAGACCCACCGCCUACACACACUUUCCCGCUUACCUUUGCUCGCUCUCUAUCCAUCUCUUUCUCUCUGUGCCUAUCUUUCUCUCUCUCGCUCUCUCUCGCUCUGUGUGUGUCUUUCUUUAUCUCACUCUCCAGCCCUGUGUUUUGGGUGUCUAGCACUAAGCACUUGCGCACCACCAGCACCAUCAGCAAGGGGCCGACAGGGGCCAACAACAACAUCAAGAACAAGAACAAGAACAACAAUAAGAACAACAGCAACAAGAACAAGUACAAUUAGCACCACCGACCAGGUCAGUGUCUGUGUGAUUACCCCACUCCUGCUCGUCACACCAUCCACAUACCAGCACCACAAUUGCACAUUACUACCAUAGAUACCCACGGCAGUAUUACUACCGCAUGGAGCGCGGCACCAGCGGUGGUCAGCAGCAACAGUCGCAGUCGCACCAUCCGCACCACCAUCAGCAGCAGCAGCAGCAGCAGCACCACCACCAACAGCAGCAGCAGCAUCAGUCGCGGCACCAGCAUGUGGUAUCUGUGCAUAGCUACGAUCCGUAUAUGAUUGCCGGCGAUGCGGAUGAGGAGCAUACCUCGGGCACAUCCUCGUUUGAUAAUCCGGCAACGAAAAAGAAACCGCCCAAGCUGAAGCCCAUCCAUCGUUCACUAUCGAUGGCCAUUGAUAAUUAUGCACCGAUAGCGACCGAAUUGGAUUUAGAUUUAGAUGAUGGCUUUAUUGUGCAUGAGCAGCCGCUGAUCCACCGCUCGGCGUCGCCGCUGCCCGUGCGCUCGUCUGCACCGCCGCCGCAGACCCUAGCACUCCCAGCACAACAACAACAACAACAACAUACUAUUCCCCAACAUAUACCCGGUGGCGGCAGCGGUUCCGUGUCGCCGGCACUAUCUGCACGCCAGCACCACCACCUACAACAACAACAACAACAGCACCACCAACAGCAACAACAACAACAACAACACCAGCAACACCAGCUGCAUAUGCACACAUUCCAGCAACUGGCCGCACAGGCAGCUGCUGCACGACACCACCAGCUGCCACAUACGCAUGCACCGCAUCAGCACCGCCAGCACACGCACCCGAGCUCGAGCAGCUCACCCACCUUGCACGCGGUCAGCCCAGUGCAACAGCAACAACAGCAACAGCAACAACAUCACCAACGACAACAGCAACAACAACAUCAACCGGAUAUUUAUUUGGUUAGCAGCAGCAGCAGCCUGGGCGACACUGUGGGCGGUCUGGGCAUGGGCCUGGGCCUGGGUCGCUCACAGCUGGGCGGCAGCGGCAGCACAUCACCGAUACAGUUCAUCGAUGUCGAUGAUAUGCUGCCGCGUGCUGCCGCACAGCAGCAGCAGCACCACCACCCGCAUCCGCAUCCGCACGCGCAGCAGCAGCAGCUGAAAAAGAACCUGUUCCGGCGCUCAGACACAAUUGACGUUCAUCCGUCUACCAAUUUUCAGAUGAAGAAAACGCAUUCCUUCCACGCCCAACAGGAUCCCGCCGCCAUGGAACAAAUCCAGCUGGCCGUCGCCGCCGGCUCGGCCACCUCCAGCCGACGCACCAGCUCGGUGCGCGCCAAUUUCCUGAUGCCCGGCCCGCCGGCCGGCAAGGAGAUCUCCCGUUCGCCCUCGCCCAGUCGCCGCGGUUGUCGUUCGCAUCGCUCCUUCAAUGAUCCCGGGCGACGACCCAGCAGCAAGCCCGAAUCCGUGGUGGAGUCCCAAAUCCGGCAUCCCUCGUUGAACGAUGAUCUGCUGGAGCCGCUCGACGGCCGUUCGCUGUUUCCGCCAACGAAUCUGUCGCUGGAGAACGAGCUGUUUGUAGAGUCGCGUUCGCGCAGCAAUAGCCAUACCAAAAUGGAGGAGCUGGGCGUGGCGGAGCUGGCGGCCGCUGCUGUGGCUGUGCAGCGCAUGCGCAAGAGCUCCGGUUCGUUUGAUGAGACGGCGCCUGUCCUGGCCGCCGGCCACAGCGCCACCCAUCCGCCCGCUGCCUCCGCCUCGAACAGCAUUAAGCAAAAGCGCGAACCACAUCCUCACUCGCGCCAGCAGAGCACCCACAGCCUGGAGCUGGACGGACGACCGUCCACCAGCAGCGCCGCCGCCCACACUAUGCAGCUGCACAGCGCGGCGGCCGCCGCGAGCGCCGCGUAUCAUUUCAAGCGUGGCGCCCAGCACGGACGCUCACUGUACCUGUCGCCCAGCAAUCUGGAGGAACUGACCGUGCAUCGGCCUGGCCUGCUGGCGGCAGCCGCCGCCUUCCAGGGCACCAAUGCCAGCGCCAGUGUCAAGCAGGCCAAGGCACUGCACAGCGCCAGCGUACGGCUGCGCAGCUAUCGCGAGGCGCUCAGCGCCACCAAGAAGUCCAAGAGCUUUAUAGCCGAGGCCAGCGGCGCAACCUCGGCCGGCGAUGAUUUUGAGCUUGGCUCGGCCUCACCCCACCGAAGGAACAGUCGCCCGCUGUCGACGGCGGUGCCCAGCGUGGCGGCCGGCACGGCCGCUGUGGUCAAUGUGGACGAGAUCAAGCGCAGUCCACGUCCAAUUACCGCUGCCGCCGUCGCGGCCGCGUUCAUCGAGGAGAAGCGACCGUCGUUCGAGCGCAAAUCCUCGCUCACCUACGAGCACGAGCUGACCGAUGCCGCCUUUGCCGCUCAGGUGCUGCGUCCCUUCCAUCAUAAGCUGGCCGCCGGACGCAAGGCGUCCCUAAGCGGUGGCUCGCACAAGCUCAAAAAGAAAUCGCUGAGCGACGAUACCGACGAGGACGAGGAGGCGGACCGCAAGCGCAAACGCAUCGUUUGCAUUGUCCUGGCCACGGUGCUGUUGUGCCUCGUGUGCGCCAGCGUCUUCGUGCUCAUCGUGACGCUCACCUCCGGCCAGAGCCAGUCCGGCAAAAAGUCGCACACUUUCAGCAGGGACACGCCCGUCCACUACACGGGCAUGCGACCAUCAUGAACUCCAACAACAACAGCAAUCGAUUGCCGCAUUUGGCCCAGUGCUGCACUUUCGGCUAUUUCGUUGGCUUUCACUUCCGUUUCCGCUGCGCUUACGUGCACUUCAACUUCUACUUCUGCUUCUUCUUCUUCUUCUUCUUCACCAAUCCUGUAUCCUGCAUUCUGUGUGUGCGUGCGUGUAAUUGUGAGCCGCUUCGAUUGUUCUCUCCAGUGUCACAGCAGUCAACCAGCUGCCAGUAGCUGUCUAAUUGAGGACGAGCCGCAGCAGCAGUUGCAGCGGAAACAACAGCCACAACAACAACAACAAUUGGCCGCAAUUCGUGAGAAUUGCAAUUGAAAAACUAACGCACCAAGUCGCGCGCCUUGCGUCAGGAGAACGAGCGCAGCAUGCGCGAGAACCUGGAGCGCACGCUCAUGAUGAAGAACCUCACGGAGCUGAAUCUGCAGCGG